GUCAAUAAACCCAUCAGACGACAGAGCUCAGACGACAGAAUGAGUGUUUUCUGUUGUCUGAAUAAUUUUAACGACAGAAUGAAAAAAUUCUGUUGUUUGAAUAUAGUGUAUAACAUGGUAAAUUAGGUUUCUGAAAAAGGUUUUGUUUUAGACAACAGAUUUCUGUUGUGCAUUACAUUGAGGUUGAUUUAGUUUUGAUUGUUUGGGUUUUUUUUUUUCUUGAAAAGAACUGUUUGGAAAGGGUUAUGUUUCAGACAACAGAAUUCUGUUGUGCAUUGAACUGACUUUGGUUUUUUAUUUCCCCCUCCUUUCAGUUUGGUUUUUUGGCACAACGUAAAGGUAUAUCCCCUUCUCAAAAAAAAAAAAAAAAAAAAAAAACGUAAAGAUAUAUCCGCCUAACACUUAAUGAAAUUUUGGCCCGACAAAUUUGUCAAACUGAAAGAAACCUAAAAACCUUCUCUCAGCUCGCCCUCACUCUCAAACCCACCUCCUCUCUUGCUCUCGCUUUCGUUCUUCAAACUGAAAACCCAAUCCUCCCCUCCGCGCAUCAGCCCGCACAGCCGCGCCAGCAGCCCACCCGCCUACGCCCCAGCGCCCUCCCCACCUGUGCAGAUCCCAGAAGCCCCGCGCGGCCCCGCCUGCGCAGAUCCCAGCAGCCACAGCUCACCUCAGUAACUCGCGCACAGCCUCCCACCAGACUGGCCUCAGCCCUGCCGCCAGCCCGGUCUCAUCCAACAUGGAAACUGAAAACCCAGAAUCAUCUCAAGCAUCUCACCUCGCAAAAUAGAAAACCCCAUUCGAGCCAAACGAUCUCGGUCUCAAUCUCAAUCCGUAUCUUGGUCUCAGUCUGAGUUCGCAUCUAUCACGGCUAGGCGAUUGCAUUGGGUAGCAGCACAAGCGAUUCAGGCUGAGUCUGUUAUCUCUUUAAUCCAAAAUAGGAAGAGGAAAGUUCAAGGGCAAGCCCACGGGUCACUGCAACUUCUCCACUCACGAAGAGAUGGUAAAGCUUUGAAGAUAAGUUAUAGGUUUCUGGUAGUGAUUUGGCUUGAAAUCUGGUAGUGAUUUCAAUUCGCAGCAGUCAAUUUGAAGGUAUUGGAGUUUGAUUCGCUGUAGGCCAUUUGAAGGGAAACUUGAUUAAGUUUUGAUAAUUGAGUUGUGGAGAGCAUGCACUGUUAGUGUGCUUGGGCGAAUCCCCAAGCACAGGGAGAUCAGCCUAAAGUGAGUGUUAUGGUCCUUCUCGGUGUUUACAUGACCCUUGCAUUUGGGAGCUCGAGGUCUAUAUUUAUUAGGGCUGUGUUGGUAGCUACCUUUGGUCUAGAAGCUGCACAGAAAUUCUUUCUGAAGAUGCUUAGGAGUGUUUUCAGCGCACCAAUGUCUUUCUUUGAUUCUACUCCUGCUGGACGGAUUUUGAAUCCAAGAGAUGCAAGUUGGUUCUGAACUGAGGAAGAGGAAGCUGCUGUUCUGUGUGUUACCAGAUUAAAGGCCAAAUAAAGGAGGUCUUUGUGGUGCUGCACUGCCAAAUUAGUCCAGGGUCAACAAAUGCCUUGGUUAUAUCUAAGCAGACCAUUCUACUUCGUGUAGAGGUAGUGAGUAGCUGCUCAUGUCUUUCUAUAACAACAAGGCAAACCGCUAAUUUUCAAGCCAACAUCCAUCAAACGCUCAAGACUACAUAAUGAAGGUUUGAUGUUGGACAAGGAGUUCAGAAGUUCAAAGCGGGCGAUAAUGUUGUAGCAUUUCACCAUGUGAGAAGAGCCUCUGCUUCAGAAUUGGAAUGAACAGUAGUAGUAAGAGAAAAUGCUAACAACUGAAGCUGCUUUGUGUUAACUACUUGUUUCUAUGUACUUAUUAUGUCAAGAUAAUGUACUGAUGACUUGUACUGUACUUAUUAUGUCAAGAUAAUGUACUGAUGACUUGUACAUAUGGAGUUGUUAAUAUAGAUAUAUAACUGA